CGGUCGCCUCCUAAAAGGUAACGGAGGCGCUCAAAGGUUCCCUCAGAAUGGUUGGAAAUCAUUCAUAGAGUGUAAAGGCAUAAGGGAGCUUGACUGCGAGACCUACAAGUCGAGCAGGGUCGAAAGACGGACUUAGUGAUCCGGUGGUUCCGCAUGGAAGGGCCAUCGCUCAACGGAUAAAAGCUACCCCGGGGAUAACAGGCUUAUCUCCCCCAAGAGUUCACAUCGACGGGGAGGUUUGGCACCUCGAUGUCGGCUCAUCGCAUCCUGGGGCUGUAGUCGGUCCCAAGGGUUGGGCUGUUCGCCCAUUAAAGCGGUACGCGAGCUGGGUUCAGAACGUCGUGAGACAGUUCGGUCCCUAUCCGUCGUGGGCGUAGGAAAUUUGAGAGGAGCUGUCCUUAGUACGAGAGGACCGGGAUGGACAUACCUCUGGUGUACCAGUUGUCGUGCCAACGGCAUAGCUGGGUAGCUAUGUGUGGACGGGAUAAGUGCUGAAAGCAUCUAAGCAUGAAGCCCCCCUCAAGAUGAGAUUUCCCAACUUCGGUUAUAAGAUCCCUCAAAGAUGAUGAGGUUAAUAGGUUCGAGGUGGAAGCAUGGUGACAUGUGGAGCUGACGAAUACUAA
rnacentral:rRNA from 1 species